UCCCUGAUGGCUCAGAGGUUAAAGCGUCUGCCUGCAAUGCGGGAGACCUGGGUUCGAUCCCUGGGUUGGGAA
rnacentral:tRNA from 1 species